rnacentral:rRNA from 1 species
GACGAACGCUGGCGGCGUGCUUAACACAUGCAAGUCGAGCGGUAAGGCCCUUUCGGGGGUACACGAGCGGCGAACGGGUGAGUAACACGUGGGUGACCUGCCCUCCACUCUGGGAUAAGCCUGGGAAACUGGGUCUAAUACCGGAUAGGACCAUUGAUCGCAUGGUUGGUGGUGGAAAGUUUUUUCGGUGGGGGAUGGGCCCGCGGCCUAUCAGCUUGUUGGUGGGGUGAUGGCCUACCAAGGCGGUGACGGGUAGCCGGCCUGAGAGGGCGACCGGCCACACUGGGACUGAGACACGGCCCAGACUCCUACGGGAGGCAGCAGUGGGGAAUAUUGCGCAAUGGGCGGAAGCCUGACGCAGCGACGCCGCGUGGGGGAUGACGGCCUUCGGGUUGUAAACCUCUUUCGCCAGGGACGAAGAGCAAUUGACGGUACCUGGAGAAGAAGCACCGGCCAACUACGUGCCAGCCGCCGCCGUAACAC